UGGGAUGUAGCCAAGUGGUAAGGCAACGGACUUUGACUCCGUCAUUCGUUGGUUCGAAUCCAGCCAUCCCAGCCA
rnacentral:tRNA from 1 species